GGAUCGAUGAUGACACCCUUGUAUGCAUUCCUUGGAAAAUCUGAACAAAAUGAGUGAGAACACUCUACCGUCUCCUCAUCGAAACUGAGGUCC
ensembl:snoRNA SNORD116 Small nucleolar RNA SNORD116